AAUAGCAGGUAUGAACAAAUGUUGCCGCAUCAAAAUGUCAUCAAUUACUUAACACCGGUAUAAAUCAUUUAAAUUGCACCGAUGAUAUGGUGCAGGCGAUAAAAUACAACCACAAAAUGUACUCUGGUCAUUGUGGAAGAGGCAAUGGAUUGUACUGUAAGCUAGAGCGGGAUGUGUAACGGGACGAACUAUUCGCGGGACAAAAUCUUGUUCUAAAUGCUCUGCUUUCGAGUGGCGCACCAGUUUUCACAAUAGGUUUCCGGCUAUAAAAAAGCGAGGCAUUCAUGCAGGAUCUGGAACGAAAAGAGAGUUACGAACUCUGAGGAGACUCCACCUCUGAUAACAUCUUUCAACGUAACAAAAGUGUCCAGAACCUUUAAUCUCAAAAAAGGAGACGUUGCUCUGGGAUUAAGGACAUCUUGGCUUAUUGAGAUUAUAAGGAUAAAUCAAUGCCAUGGGAUUAGAAAGGCUCAGAUAAGCGGAAACUAUUCAUUGGUCAUUAGAAUGACUGUCAAAGUGAUUUGAAUGACACAGAAUUUACAAA